rnacentral:rRNA from 1 species
CAAUAGCGUAUAUUAAAGUUGUUGCAGUUAGAACGCUCGUAGUCGGAUUUCGGGGCGUUCCGACCGGUCUGCCGAUGGGUAUGCACUGGCCGGAGUGUCCUUUUUGCCGGAGACCGUGCCUACUCUUAACUGAGCGGGGGCGGGAGACGGCACUUUUACUUUGAAAAAAUCAGAGUGUUUCAAGCAGGCAGCUCGCUCUUGCAUGGAUUAGCAUGGGAUAAUGAAAUAGGACUUUGGUGCUAUUUUGUUGGUUUCGAACACCGAAGUAAUGAUGAGAAGGGACAGUCAGGGGCACUCGUAUUCCGCAGAGAGAGGUGAAAUUCUCAGACCCGCGGAAGACGAACCACUGCGAAAGCAUUUGCCAGGGAUGCUUUCACUGA